CAACAGGGAUUGCCCUAGUAACGGCGAGUGAAGCGGCAACAGCUCAAAUUUGAAAUCUGGCCCUCGGGUCCGAGUUGUAAUUUGUAGAGGAUGCUUUUGGUGCGGUGCCUUCCGAGUUCCCUGGAACGGGACGCCAUAGAGGGUGAGAGCCCCGUCUGGUUGGACGCCAAUCCUCUGUAAAGCUCCUUCGACGAGUCGAGUAGUUUGGGAAUGCUGCUCUAAAUGGGAGGUAUAUGUCUUCUAAAGCUAAAUACCGGCCAGAGACCGAUAGCGCACAAGUAGAGUGAUCGAAAGAUGAAAAGCACUUUGAAAAGAGAGUUAAAAAGUACGUGAAAUUGUUGAAAGGGAAGCGCUUAUGACCAGACUUGGGCUUGGUAGAUCAACCUGGGUUCUCCCUGGUGCACUCUUCCUCGUCCAGGCCAGCAUCAGUUCGCUGCGGGGGAUAAAGGCUUCGGGAAUGUGGCUCCCUCGGGAGUGUUAUAGCCCGUUGCGUAAUACCCUGCGGUGGACUGAGGUUCGCGUUCUGCAAGGAUGCUGGCGUAAUGGUCAUCAGCGACCCGUCUUGAAACACGGACCAAGGAGUCGUCUUCGUAUGCGAGUGUUCGGGUGUUAAACCCCUACGCGUAAUGAAAGUGAACGCAGGUGAGAGCUUCGGCGCAUCAUCGACCGAUCCUGAUGUUCUCGGAUGGAUUUGAGUAAGAGCAUACGGGGCCGGACCCGAAAGAAGGUGAACUAUGCCUGUAUAGGGUGAAGCCAGAGGAAACUCUGGUGGAGGCUCGCAGCGGUUCUGACGUGCAAAUCGAUCGUCAAAUAUGGGCAUGGGGGCGAAAGACUAAUCGA
rnacentral:rRNA from 1 species